GAGAGGACGUGUUAAAAAGUCCUUGUUCUCCGAUGUACAUGUGAUGGAGUUUGCAAACAGAAUUGUUUAUUUGUUGUUAACUUUUCAUUCUGUUUUUUGUGUGGAAUUAUUCCCAGAAGUUAUACAAACAGACGAACAGGUGGAGUUCAAAGAAUGUUACGGAACCAGCGUCGGAUUCGCCAUUUCCGGUAAUCUGUCCGACCACUACCAGGCUCUGCGACGUCACUUUCAUGGCUGCACGUUCGUCAACGGCAACCUCGAGAUCACCAACCUCGUUUCCAUGGAGAUACAUUACGACCUUGACUUUUUGAAGGACAUAGAGAUCGUCACCGGAUAUGUUCUCAUCGGGUUGGUGACAGAAGUGGAUACGAUCUCACUUCCCAAGCUGAUUCUGAUUCGAGCAGACAGCACGUUUGCCGUUCUCGGGUCAGAGUAUGGCCUUGUGGUGACCUUGACCUCUCGCAAUGAGACCAGUGGAUUGCGAACCUUGCAUAUGCCAGCAUUGAAAGAAAUUUCUCGCGGACAAGUUCUGUUCCUAGAAAAUCCACUACUGUGUCACGUGGACACGAUCGACUGGGAUCACAUGACACCGAACCGAGAAAAUGUUUUACACAUGAUAAAACAAGGUCAUUCUAAGAACUGUGAGCCGUGUUCGUCACACUGUCUUGCUAAAAACGUCAGUCGAUGUUGGGGACCCGAAGACAAUCUUUGCCAACAAGUGAACAGCAUGCAUUGUACAUCCAUGUGUCUGAACCACUGUUUUGACACAGGCGUAUUCGGUUGCUGUCACCCGGAGUGUGCUGUGGGUUGCACUGGUCCCCUGGAUACAGACUGUCAUAUGUGCAAGUACUUCAAGCACAAUGACCGGUGUGUUUCUUCUUGUCCUGACGACCAUUACUUCGCUGGACAGCAUUGUAUACUCAACCCUUUCCUGUUCACCUCAACUGACAACGAGCAUCCGAGCAUGUUAGAAUUCCAACACGCAACAGAAGCAGAAACCAAAAUGGCUGAACUGAAUCCAGUACAAACUGAGUCAAAGGGUGUGAACUCUCGACAAACAGCUGAUGACCAAGCUUACUCGGAUUUCGACACAGACAUUGUGGAUGACUACUUCCGACUUCACUACACUGUAAAUGAUCCUUUUACUGGUGAGGACAGUUCACCAGACUCGUCCACCAGUCCUCAAGCAAUCACAGAAAAUGCUGCCACUCCACUCUUUAACACAGAUACGGCUACCAGCACCUACCAAUUGGCCGAUGUCGAAAUUAUGGUUACCAACAGCAAACAUAUUGCUGAUGAGUCGCCGAGCACAGCAUAUGAUUCAUUACAACAUUACUUGUCACCAGCUGAUGCUACAGCUGCCAUAGAAUCACCGACGUCUGCAGAUCCUGAUCCACCUCUGAAUGAUGGACCUAUAGAAACUGAUGUCAGCACUGCAGUCUCAGAAAGUGAAAUAAAGCAAAUAACUACAGCCACUAGCACACCCGAUGAGAACACGGUUAAAGAUCCCGCCGAACCAGAAUCAACAAAUCUGACCAAUUCCACUGAAGAAAUAUCUCAUGUCUCUGUUACUGCUGACUCAGUUGGCGAUGAUAAUGGAAACUACACAGCCACCGUAAUGACUAAUGAUAGUGCGGUUUACAAGGAUGGCGAUUUUAAACAAACCAAUCAUAGCAAGUCGUACGAAGGUGUGGAUUUGAAAUACACCAAUGAGAACAUGAUAUCUCAUGAUGAUUAUGAUGAUGAUGAUAAUGAUACACAAUAAUAACUACAUAUGGAAAUACCAUAAGAUGUUUCAAUAACAAAGGUUUUAUUAAAUAAUUUCAAAUGCCAUGAAAUUCCAAACGUCUGCGAUAGCAGAUUACCAAAAAGUUACAAUAUCUGUAGACUGCUGAAAUCGCAAGACCUGUGAUGACAAAUGACUUAAACAUAUUACACCAUAUAAACUGCUGAUAUGGCAAAGGUUUGCAAUGACAAAUGACCAAAUUAUCAACUGAAAAUUAUUUAAAAGAGUUAACAUUGCUGACGAAUUCCCAGCAUCUGUUGAUAUUGAUUUGGAGUUGUACUAAAUGAGUUACGAAUUGACAGAAGAAUCCUGAGUGUGUUUAAGCCAACAUUGUUUCUGAUAAAAUGGUAAUAACCUCUUUAUCAUAUAAUCUCAAACUUAAUACAACAUGUUUUUGUAA
rnacentral:misc_RNA from 1 species